GAAAGUAAGCAAGGGCGUACGGGGGAUGCCUAGGCUCUUGGAGGCGAAGAAGGACGUGUUAAGCUGCGAAAAGCUGCGGGGAUUUGCAAAAAAGACUUGAUCCGCAGAUGUCCGAAUGGGGCAACCCGGCAGGUCGGAGACCUGUCACACCGGCAACGGUGAGCAAACCCUAUGAACUGAAACAUCUUAGUAAUAGGAGGAGGAGAAAGAAACAUCGAUUUCCCGAGUAGUGGCGAGCGAAAAGGAAAGAGCCCAAACCGGCGUUGUUACGGCAAUGCCGGGGUUAUAGGACUGCGAUAUCUUAAUACCAACGAACGAGAAAUGACUGGAAAGUCGUACCGUAGAGGGUGAAAGUCCCGUAUUGGUAAGUUCGGUAAGCGGUAGCAGUAUCCUGAGUAUGGCGGGACACGAGGAAUCCUGUCAGAAUUUGCGGGGACCACCCCGUAAGGCUAAAUACUCCCAAGAGACCGAUAGUGGACCAGUACCGUGAGGGAAAGGUGAAAAGUACCCCGAACAGGGGAGUGAAAAAGAACCUGAAACCGUACGCUUACAACCUGUCGGAGCCGCUUCGUGCGGUGACGGCGUGCCUUUUGGAUAAUGAACCUACGAGUUACUAAUCACUAGCGAGGUUAAGGACUAUAAAGUCCGGAGCCGAAGCGAAAGCGAGUCUGAAUAGGGCGUAUAGUUAGUGGUUGUAGACGCGAAACCUUGCGAUCUACCCAUGAGCAGGAUGAAGGUUGGGUAAAACCAACUGGAGGUCCGCACCGGUAAACGUUGAAAAGUUUUCGGAUGACUUGUGGGUAGGGGUGAAAGGCUAAUCAAGCUGGGAAAUAGCUCGUACUCCCCGAAAUGCUUUUAGGAGCAGCGUUGUAAUAGUCUACUGGAGGUAGAGCUACUGAUUGGAUGCGGGGGCUUCACCGCCUACCAAAUCCUGACAAACUCCGAAUGCCAGUAGAAUGAUUUGCAGCAGUGAGCCGCUGGGUGCUAAUGUCCGGCGACUAAAGAGGAACAACUCAGACCAUCAGCUAAGGCCCCCAAACAUACACUAAGUUGAACUAACGAUGUGCGACUGCAGCGACAGCUAGGAUGUUAGCUUGGAAGCAGCUAUUCAUUUAAAGAGUGCGUAACAGCUCACUAGUCGAGCGGUUGUGCGUGGAUAAUAACCGGGCAUCAAGUGUAUUGCCGAAGCUAUGGACUCUACGGAGUGGUAGGGGAGCAUUCCAUCGACGUCGAAGCCGAUUCGUGAGGAUCGGUGGAGUUUAUGGAAAAGCAAAUGUAGGUAUAAGUAACGAUAAGGCGGGAGAGUAACCCGCCCACCGCAAGACCAAGGUUUCCUGAUCAACGUUAAUCGGAUCAGGGUCAGUCGGGGCCUAAGGGUAAGCCGCAUGGUGAUCUCGAUGGACAAUCGGUUAAUAUUCCGAUACUGAUAUGAACUGCGACGGAGGGACGGAGAAGCGUAAGCUACGCCAACAGACGGAAUUGUUGGUUAAAGGGUGUAGGUAUAUGAUUCGGUUAAUAGCUGAUUCAUGCUGAAACCUGACAGUACCGAGCGGCUACGGCCAAUCGGAUAGUUAGCCCAAGCAAGCUUCCGAGAAAAACUUCUAAGCUUCAGGUUCAUAUCACCCGUACCGUAAACCGACACAGGUGGUCGAGGAGAGUAUCCUCAGGUGCUUGAGUGAAUCACGGAUAAGGAACUAGGCAAAUUGACCCCGUAACUUCGGGAAAAGGGGUCCCUACGCAAGUAGGGCGCAGCGAAGAGGUCCAGGCAACUGUUUAACAAAAACAUAUGGCUCUGCUAAUUCGAGAGAAGAAGUAUAGGGCCUGACACCUGCCCGGUGCUGGAAGGUUAAGAGGGGAUGUCAGCGCAAGCGAAGCAUUGAAUCGAAGCCCCAGUAAACGGCGGCCGUAACUAUAACGGUCCUAAGGUAGCGAAAUUCCUUGUCGGGU
rnacentral:rRNA from 1 species